rnacentral:rRNA from 1 species
GGGUCAUUAGGUUGGUCGUGCCACCGGUACGUACUGGUCUCACUGAUUCCUCCUUCCUGAAGAACCUUAAUGCCAUUAAUUUGGUGUUGCGGGGAAACAGGACUGUUACUUUGAAAAAAUUAGAGUGUUUAAAGCAAGCUAACGCUUGAAUACAUUAGCAUGGAAUAAUGAAAUAGGACGAUAGAUCCUAUUUUGUUGGUUUCUAGGAUUGACGUA